CACGUAGGCGGACUAUUAAGUCAGGGGUGAAAUCCCGGGGCUCAACCCCGGAACUGCCUUUGAUACUGGUAGUCUCGAGUCCGGAAGAGGUGAGUGGAAUUCCGAGUGUAGAGGUGAAAUUCGUAGAUAUUCGGAGGAACACCAGUGGCGAAGGCGGGCUCACUGGUCCGGUACUGACGCUGAGGUGCGAAAGCGUGGGGAGCAAACAA
rnacentral:rRNA from 1 species